rnacentral:lncRNA from 1 species
CUUACAUCUAGGACAAUGUGGCCUUGAUCAGCUGGCCUCUAGGUGCUACUGCAAUAUAAACGUUUAAUGUAAUAACUUAAAAUAGUAGGGCUUUAACCACACUGUAUUAUUUGUCAUACUAAGGGAGACCUGCACAGCUAGCUUUAUUUAUGGCAGGAGGGACUCAAACAUGACAGAAAGGCACUGAUCUGAGCAGAGAAGAAGACAGCAUACUCUGGCAGAGAACUUUCUUUCUUUAAGCGAAGGAUUGCAUACUUCCGUUUGCUAAGAAAUAUGGGCUUUGGAAUAAAGAAAGUAUCAGUGCUUACUGACACCAGCUUGGAGUCUCAAGCCUGGUUAGUGGCGAGUACCAUAAUCUCACCUCAAAGAAAGACCAGCAUGCUGAAGGGAGCCAAGUGUAAUCACCACCAGAGGAAAUGAGACAAUUUGGCAGCAGCGUCAGCAGGGGAGCCAACUGGGAUGUGUGUAAAGUGUGCUGUUUACUCACUUCCCAAAUCUGAACAUGAACAAAGUUUAACUUUCUGCUGAAAAAGUCCCUAAGUAUAAUUCAAUCUUUCCACUGAAUCUUUUGG